rnacentral:lncRNA from 1 species
GCGCUGCCUGUGGAGAUCCGCGGAGGCCGACAGGAUUCGUUGGCUACCGUCCCCGCUGCCGUGCACUGGGGGAUGGGGGGAAUGGCGAUUCACUGUAAUGGUUAAAGGCUGUGCAUAUUGGUCCUUGAGAACUCAAACCGAGGUUAAAAACGACAACGAACACCAACCAUGAAAGAUCCAAGUCGCAGCAGUACUAGCCCAAGCAUCAUCAAUGACGAUGUGAUUAUUAACGGUCAUUCUCAUGAAGAGGAUAAUCCAUUUGCAGAGUACAUGUGGAUGGAAAAUGAAGAGGAAUUCAACAGACAAAUAGAAGAGGAGUUGUGGGAAGAAGAAUUUAUUGAACGCUGUUUCCAAGAAAUGCUGGAAGAGGAAGAAGAACAUGAAUGGUUUAUUCCAGCCCGAGAUCUCCCACAAACUAUGGACCAAAUCCAAGACCAGUUUAAUGACCUUGUUAUCAGUGAUGGCUCUUCUCUGGAAGAUCUUGUGGUGAAGAGCAAUCUGAAUCCCAAUGCAAAGGAGUUUGUUCCUGGGGUGAAGUACUGACAUGUCUGAGCAGCCGGCCGCUUUGGGUGGAUGUAGCACAGUUUCCACACUGGGAAGGCAGUGUUAGAAGACUCCAUUGUAAAAGCUCUCUCUCGUCACUGUGUUACACUUACGCAUUGCCAAAGUUUUUGUUAGUCUUGCAUGCUUAAUAAAAGUGCUGAGACUGUUACUAAGUAAGAAGCUGUCACACAGUUACUGAAAGUAGAAUUGGCCGCAUGGCUUGAUGUAAAGACAGCAGGAAGAAGCACCAGUCGAUUGUGACAAAGAACCAAAUUAAAUCACCUCCAAAUCUC